CUUGUUUCAGCGGUGAAACGUUGAUUUUUGCGGAACCCCUGUUUGUCUUGAGGCGUUGACUUCGCCCCCCCUCCUCCAAGGCUUGUGGGAAAUCGCGGAAGUCACGAAUUUCCUUCAGUGGCACAAAUCGGCAGCUACGCAUCUGGUGCGGUAUUCCAGCAGUUGCGCAACGGCGCUUCGACGGGAUUGGUAUAUCUGCGCUUUCGCAAGGCGUCCUUCGUUUACCUGAAACACCUUCUGGAUGGCUUGGUGGGUGGCGACAGUCAUGUCGAUCAGCGCAGGCACUCUGGAAAUCUCCGAGUAGAAUGUAAAAGGCGGAGCUUGGGACUCCUCUUCUUGCCCCAGUUGAGAAGGGACACAUCUUGGAGAAAAGACGGGGAGCAAAAAGAAGCAACGCAGCCUUCGUCGUCAGGCCGCCGAGAAACGGUUUCCCCCCACGCCACUGCACAUGCAAACUGGAAAAAUAGCGCUUGUCAUUUCCCUGGCGCUCUACAAGCUUUUCGUUGGGUAUUUGCAUGCUGAAGGUUUUCUUCUUUGCUCCUUCGCUCGCUUCAACCGCCAAACUUGAAUUCAGAAGAUGCCCCAAAGACGUAACCGAAACGCUACGCCCA
rnacentral:lncRNA from 1 species